UCAUUCUUUGAAUUAUGGGAGCUCUCAGUUCAUGCAAAUGCCAUUACAUUGUACAGAAAAAAGGAUAUUAUCACAGGAGGGAGGCAUCACCUAUACAAUUUAAUCCAGCAAGUCUCUGUCUCACCUAAUGCAAAUCUUGCUGGUGCUGAGGUGGUAGGUGGUCUUCCUCUGCUCCAAAACACUUAUGGCAGUUUCAUGCAGCUAUUGCAAGCUCCUAUUGAAUCAGAGAGUGCUCUAUAUUUGACAUCCAAUAGAUUUGAGUAUGACAACACCUUUUGGGGUUUUGAUCCUCACAAUGGUUAUCAACAAAAUGACACCUCUCAGAUGUGCAACUCUUUGCCACAAAGUGUAGCUGUGCAUCCUCCUGUGGCAUCACUGGACAUGCUAUAUGAUGAAAUGCAGAAAUCAAGCGCUGAUGUUGAUAAUCAAGCUGAGAUGUGCAGGCCAACAGUACAAUUGAAAGCAUCAUCUGUAGAAGUGAUUUAUAAUGAAAUGCAGACUCAAACUAUUGAGGCUGAUGCCUGUUUUGACCAGCACUUUGAGCAAGCAACAGAAGAGGAUUUAUUGUCUGAUCAUGCAAUAGUUACAUUUCAGCAAGUUGAGGAAAUAGAACAAGAUAAAAGUGCAGAAAAUCCAGAUCAAAAUUUUAGUGAGGAAGAUAUAACAUAUUUCUGGAGAAUGAAAUGCACAUGUGCCGUCAACAACAAAGUUUUUGCUGAUGAGAAUGAAGCUUUUGACUUCUACAAUGGUUAUGCUUAUAUGGUUGGUUUCUCUACAUGCAAAGCUAGCAAUUACCAUAGCAGAAAAACCGAUGUUGUGACAAGGCACACGUUCAAAUGCAACAGGUGGAAACCAAGUGAUCCAAAGGAGAAGGACCUGCCUGAGAUUGAUGAGUUGAGAAUUGUUUGCAAACAAACACAAUAA
rnacentral:lncRNA from 1 species